rnacentral:rRNA from 1 species
CCUACGGGAGGCUGCAGUGAGGAAUAUUGGUCAAUGGGCGCGAGCCUGAACCAGCCAAGUCGCGUGAGGGAAGACGGUCCUAUGGAUUGUAAACCUCUUUUGUCGGGGAGCAAAAGACGCCACGCGUGGAGUUCCGUGAGUACCCGAAGAAAAAGCAUCGGCUAACUCCGUGCCAGCCGCCGCGGUAAUACGGAGGAUGCGAGCGUUAUCCGGAUUUCGUGGGUUUAACGGGUGCGCAGGCGGAAGAUAAAGGCUACGGUAAAAUUGAGAGGCUCAACCUCUUCGAGCCGUUGAAACUGGUUUUCUUGAGUGAGCGAGAGGUAUGCGGAAUGCGUGGUGUAGCGGUGAAAUGCAUAGAUAUCACGCAGAACUCCGAUUGCGAAGGCAGCAUACCGGCGCUCAACUGACGCUCAUGCACGAAAGUGUGGGUAUCGAACAGGAUUAGAUACCCGAGUAGUC